GUACACUCCUGCGGGAGGCAGCAGUGGGGAAUAUUGCACAAUGGGCGCAAGCCUGAUGCAGCCAUGCCGCGUGUAUGAAGAAGGCCUUCGGGUUGUAAAGUACUUUCAGCGGGGAGGAAGGCGAUAAGGUUAAUAACCUUGUCGAUUGACGUUACCCGCAGAAGAAGCACCGGCUAACUCCGUGCCAGCAGCCGCGGUAAUACGGAGGGUGCAAGCGUUAAUCGGAAUUACUGGGCGUAAAGCGCACGCAGGCGGUCUGUCAAGUCGGAUGUGAAAUCCCCGGGCUCAACCUGGGAACUGCAUUCGAAACUGGCAGGCUAGAGUCUUGUAGAGGGGGGUAGAAUUCCAGGUGUAGCGGUGAAAUGCGUAGAGAUCUGGAGGAAUACCGGUGGCGAAGGCGGCCCCCUGGACAAAGACUGACGCUCAGGUGCGAAAGCGUGGGGAGCAAACAGGAUUAGAAACCCGUGUAGUCC
rnacentral:rRNA from 1 species